UGAUAUGACCGAUAACCUGUCACUCCUCGUUAGUAAGAGGAAAGAGUGCGGGGUAUCUGAAAACAAUAUGUACCUUUUCGCCAUUCCUUGUAGUGAUGGUCACUACAGAGGGCAGUUUGGUCAGUUUGCAGAUGCUUGCGGAGCUGAACAUCCUCAGAACCUCAGAUCAACUAACCUUCGCAAACAGAUUGCCACAAUAAGCCAAGUCAUGAACUUGAAAGAUAAUGAACUAGACCAGCUGGCCGAUUUCCUCGGCCAUGACAUCAGGGUCCAUAGAGAAUACUAUCGACUGCCCCAAUCAACAAUUCAGCUGGCUAAGAUCUCCAAGUUGCUCAUGGCCAUGGAGAAGGGAAGUGUGAAGGAUAUUCAAGGAAAAACUCUGGAUGAAAUUGGUGAUGACAUAGAUGGGAUGGCUACUGGAUCACAGCAACUCCCUGAUGCUUCCACAUUGCGAGACUGCAGCUCAAGAUGACCAGGGGAAUGAUGCCUGUGUGACUUCUGGUUCACCUCCUGUCCCUGACUCAGUUACUAAAGGUUUACGUGUUUCAUCAAGGCGGUGUGUGAAGAGACCAUGGUCUGAAGAGGAGAUAGGAGCGGUGAUGAAACAUAUGAAGCCUUUUAUUGAAAACGGUAUCACUGUCACCAACCAGCAGUGUCUGAAGUGCAAAGAAAAGGAACAACCUAUCUUGGAGACGAGAUCUAUUCAAAACAUUCGAGAUUUUGUGCGCAACAGAGGACUGGCCUUUAAAAAAAAUAAAUAAAUGUUAAACACUAAAUGCACUUUUUGACAGUCUGAGCCUUUACCUUUCUGGGCCUGAUUUCAAGGUUAGUGUUCU